rnacentral:lncRNA from 1 species
CUGACUAUUGCCUCGUCGGGUCUGAGUACACUGCUUUGAGGCAACGUGUUUACUUUUUCUUCUUGACCAGUCCCUGCCAUGCAAGAGCCACUACAUCCUCCUUCUCUGGAAGACGACUCUGGGAAGGUGCUGUGAGGUCUUUGCCCUCCUUUGAGAAGCCCACCUUGUACAACGACUGUGACGAUUCCACGGGAUCAAAAUUUAAGCCCCAGAGCCGUUCGGGAUUCCAGGUAGUCUUCAACGGUUUGGUCUUCCUUCGCCGCUUAAGAGAUGAAGUUUUGUGAACGGCCAGCAGGUGGCGGAAUCGGCCAGGGUUCGGGCUGCAGCACCGCUGGCUGGCAAUGUGGGUCUGCAGUUAGGCAUCAAGCUGGUGACCUUGGCACCACUGAGUAGAGCUGGAACUGGAAGGAGCAGCAUGUGGCAGCUGAAAGGGAAGCCCCAGGAAGUCUUGGAAGCAGCCUUAGAGGAGCUGGGGAAAGCUAGCUGGGUGCACAGGGCCAUCUUUGCCUGCCACGAAGGGGAAAGAGCGAUUAGGAAAGGGGGCAGAGAGAACAAUUCAAAGCAAAAAAGAGGGCAAGGGCAUUCUUGGCCAGUACGGCGGUAAACGGUCAUCUGAGACUUAUUCAUCUUCUUAUCUAGCAUCUUUUCAUGAUUCGGUAUAAUCCUAUCGGAAUCUGUGUGUUUAAAAAAACUUUACAAACACAGAAUGUGACAGCGUUGAGCAGCCAUUGCUCCAUUGCGAUGGAGUUCUGAACUAUGCCUAAAGAUUUGUUUGUUUUUAUUU